ensembl:lncRNA
AUAUAGUACAUGUGAUGGCUAAUACUGAGUGUCAACUUGAUUGGAUUGAAGGAUACAAAGUAUUAAUUCUGGGUGUGUCUGUGUGGGUGUUACUGAAAGAGAUUAACAUUUGAGUGGGUGGGCUGGGGAAGGCAGAUCCUCCCUUAAUACGGUGGGUACAAUCUAAUCAGCUUUGAUAAAAUAUGCAGAAAAAUGUAAAAAGUUGGGUGGGGCCUUGCUUCCCAGCCUACAUCUUCCUCCCAUGCUAGAUGCUUCCUGCCCUGGAACAUCGGACUCCAAGUUCUUCAGUUUUGGGAAUCAAAGUGGCUCUCCUUGCUCCUGAGCUUGCAGAAAACCAAUUGCGAGACCCUGUGAUCCUGAAACCUUAGGUUUUGCUCUUAAGGCCUUCAACUGAUUUCAUGAGGCAUACUCUCUUUAUUGAGGUCA